GCUGGGCAUGGUGGUGCACGCCUAUAAUCCCAACUACUCAGGAGGCUGAGAUGGGAGAGUCGCUUGAACCCAGGAGACAGGGGUUGCAGUGAGCCGAGAUUGUGCCACUGAACUCCAGCCUGGGUGACAAAGCGAGACUCCAUCUCAA
rfam:Pan troglodytes isolate Yerkes chimp pedigree #C0471 (Clint) chromosome 9, whole genome shotgun sequence.